AUCACAUUGAGAAAAAAAGGGCAAACAUUGUCACCGCCUUCGAACCCUCGUAUCAAUCCCGAUCUGAUGUUAAGUCAAGAUUUAAAAAUCGAAUCUCGUCCAAGUGUAAGAUAAAAUCAGCGAAACAUCAAAAUUCGCACUCUCAAGCGGUAGAAAGAAAGAGAGAGAGAGAGAGAGAGAGAGAGAGAAAGAAGAGAGAAAAAAACGCUUUCUCUUUCUUUCGACAUCAAUCGAUUAGGGGCGACUUCUAAUCGUCACGGAAUGAUGACAUUCGUACAUGAAUGUAUGUAAAUACUAAAGUGGGAAUAGUGGCCUGAGGGCGGGAUUCGAAUUUAUCUCGAUUCGACUGUAAAGGAUUCGUUGGACUGUAUCGACAUAAAGAAACAUGUUGAUUAUUAAUCAUGAUGAUGAACAUGAUUAAGAUGAUGAACAUGAUCAUGGACUCAUACCUUUCAGGUGAGCAAAUUAAACGAUGCGAAAACUUCCUUAAUAUGUUUGGGUUAAUAAACGAACCAAUUAAAAGUUUCAUCAUCAAUUGUCUUAAUCUUCAAGCGUAAGAUACAAAUAACCAAUGAUCAAGUGAUCGGUCAAUAGGGUCAACAAAAUAUUCCCUUGUUGACCCUCAAUUCCAGUUCUAAGGUCACACAGACCUACAAGACCUCAUCCCGUUCAUAAUUUAACGGUCAACUAUCCGUUGGCCUUAAUGUCCAGUUCGUGGUGAUGUAAAUAUUAGUACCAAUUGUUUGGGUAACAUUGAAUUUUUAUCAAUCUAAAUUGUUACUGUCACUAAUCAUGAUUACUACUACUACGACUGAUGAUUAAUUAAUCCUUUAACAAGAUGAUGAAAGCUAAAUGGUUGACUAAUUUAUUAAUUAUCACUUGUAACUGUAUUUUUAGCUGAUUGUCACCACCAUUUUUGAUUAUCGUAUUUGAUUAUCAUUUACUAUUAUUAUCAACAUGAUCAUCUUGUAAAUUGUUGUAGUUAAUCAACAAUUUGUUGAACCAUGAUUUUCAACAAUCCAAACAGUUAUUUAUCAAUCAGAGUGAUAUUUAUAUAUUUUU